UUCAUAAAUUACAACCUCUCAUGGGACGAUCAUGUUCAUACCAUCACCGCCAAAGGGAACAAGAUGCUUGGCAUGCUGAAAAGAACUUGCCCUCUACUGACUAACACCGCAGUGAGGCGGACGCUGUACUUGUCACUCGUGAAGUCCCAGAUAAGUUACGCCACCGAAGUCUGGUCUCCACCUACCAUCAAAAUGAGAUCCACAGUGGAACGUGUACAAAGGAGAGCCACCUCUUGGAUGCUGCAAGCCAAGCGCGGAGAAAUUGCAUAUAAACAGCGGCUGAUAACCCUUGGCUUAUUACCCCUGUGCUACGAAAGAGAAAUAAAAGACUUAGUGUUCUUUUUUGAGGCACUGUAUGGACAUAUUGAUCUUGACGUGCAUAGUUUCGUUUCAUUUGUCAACAAUGGCCGAACACGACUUAGUCGAAAUCCUUCUCUCACACUCAAAAUUCCUUUCUGUAAAUCCAAAACAUUUCAAUGCUCAUAUUUCAACCGGCUUGUCAAGUUAUGGAACCACGUCUGCAAAAUUCUUCCCUCUACCACCUUUGCCAGCCUCUCCAUCUUCAAAAGAUCUCUUAAAGCCACUUACGCUAACUUGGUUACGGCAACAUUUGACGUGGACAUGCCAUGCACAUGGACACUGGUGCGGGACUGCCCCUGCCACAGAUCUUAAGUAGUUUUAAUAGACGGUUCCUCUUAUUGUGUUCACUGAAUGCAACCACAUUAUGCUUGUGAGUUUGAAAUUAUUAUGCUAAAACAUCCGUGAAGCAUUCAUUAUGCUUGUGAGUUUGAAAUUAUUUUGCUAACACAUCCGUGAAGCAUUCAGGUGGUUGUGUUCAUGGUGCAUACUAAUAGGGGGAAGCGGCUUUUAUAUAUUUGUAUUCUAUGUAUGUGUGUAUUUAUAUUUAUGUACGUAUUCGCUGCUUCGGGGUUUGCACCUUGCAUGGGACUUCGCGUCUCGUUUGUGCUUAUGCCAUUUGAGUUCAUAUUAAUUAUACAUAAUAUUAAUUAAUUAUAUAAUGUAAUGUUCUCAAUAAAUAUAUUUGAAUAUCUU